GCGCCCGUAGCUCAGUGGAUAGAGCGGUGGACUUCGAAUCCAAAGGUCGGGGGUUCAAAUCCCUCCGGGCGUACCA
rnacentral:tRNA from 1 species